GAACGGGGCGUGGUUAGCUCACAGGUCCAGAGACCCAGACCAAAGCAACAGCACCACACUGACUACUCGAGAAGAGGAAGAAAAUGGAGGAGAAGGACUAUAAGGCAAACUACUAAAUGAAAAUAACAACAUGGAAGACGUCGGUGGGCUCCAAGACUUAACUGGUUCUUAUCUGGUCUUCUCUGGUCUUAUCUGGUCCGCCCAAUGCUGCUCUUCUGAGAGCAACCGCUCUGACAGCUCUCUCUAGUCUCUACUGGGAAACAGCUAAAAGUCCUUCUGGAGGCUUUGCAUUUGAACUCCUAUGACUGGUUGCGGACUUGAAGGGAACGCCUUCCUGACAUCCAGGAAAAAGUUUUAUUGGACAGAGGCAGUAGAUAUCUACUGGAAACAGUGGAGAGGGAGGAGAUGAUAUGCAGCAAAAGGCCCAGCCGGAUGGUUGCUGCUCCGUGUGGAACGUGUCCUAUCAGGUGUAACAUCUACCAAUGGUUGUACAUGACAGAGACCUCCUCCACCUCUUUGCUGUCUUACUAGUCAAUCCUUCUGAUCAGGUCCUUUCCUAAAUAGUGAAAGGAUCAUGCCAGCCCACAUCAAACACCUGAUCAAGAACUUGUGAACCUCACUGCUGCAGACACCUGUGUGAUAUUCCACUCUGACUGGAACCCUCAAAAUGACCUGCAGGCUCAAGCUCGGUGUCAUCGUUUUGGCCAGUCUAAGGCGGUGGAGGUGUACCGUCUGAUCACUAGAAACUAUGAGAGGGAAAUGCUGGAUAAAGCUAGUCUGAAGCUCGGGCUGGACCGUCCCGUCCUGCAGAGCAUGAGUGGCAACAACAACGGGCCGGUCCAGCAGUUCUCCAAGAAGGAGAUCGAGGACCUGCUGAGGAAAGGAGCCUACGCCGCCAUCAUGGACGAGAACGACGAAGGCAAUCGCUUCUGCUAGGAGGACAUCGACCAGAUCCUGCAGCGAAGAGCCACCAUCAACACCAUCACCAGUUUGCUUCAAGCAGUGGCUGCACGAGAAAGACGUGGAGGACCAAGAAAUGCUGGCCAGAUUGGCAAAGACCGGAAGAUACAUAACAGCGAAGAUAAUGGAUAUUAACAAGAAAAAAGAAAAAAAAUGUUUAUAAUUUCUUUGUUGCUGUUUACAUUUUGAAUUAUAUUUGUUAUUUUUAAAUCAAAUGCAUCUUUUUUAGAUGAUAUAUUUAUUUAGAUGUAGGUUUUUUUUGUAAUAUUAUUGUAUUAAGUAUAAUUUAUUAAAUAAAAAUACUGUUAUGAACACUAUACAAUGUCUUUAUUUUGAUAGUUACCAGAAUACAUUGUAUAUUUAAUAAUAACAUAAGCUGGUGAUAGAUAAAUGCUGGUCUGCUCGUAUGCCAGCAGACAAAUAUUUAUAAAGACAGGGUAUGGCUGGAGUAGGCUACACCCAUACCAAGAAAUGGCUUAGCCCCACCAUGAAAAA